CCAUUUCUUCCUCCCCUUCCUCGAUUUUUCCCCUUUGCUCGACACGUUCUGCUCCUGACGAUCGGCGACCCGUCACUCUGCUCAUCGCCGCCGGCACAGAUCGGUCUUGGAGUGAGGAGAAGGGAAGCUUGUUGAGUCUCCGGUCUCCUUCAUUCUCCGAUUUCUUCCUUCUCGGUCGAUUCUGCCGAGCCCUAGUUUCUGUUCCGACGCGAUUGGAUUGAGUUCAGAUCUAGCCGACAUCUUUCGUCUCCGGGCUGCAGACGCCGCAUCACGUCUCCUCGCGACCUCGCCUCACUGCGAUCACCCGAUUGCCGGCGCAGAUUGGGGUCCGAAGCACAGAGGCGAGGAGCUAGCUUCCUAGAUCUUGCGACGUCUAGAGUGCGAUCCGACGACAGGGCCGAUCCUUCUCCUUCCCUUGAUGCUCUCCAUCACUGUGCCCUAGUGUAGUGUCCGAUCCUUCUUUCUGUUCAUCGACAAGAAUUUAACCGUGCCUAAUUGUAAUCUUGAAGUGAUCUUCCUGUUGAUGAUGUCUUAAUCCGGUCCAGUGAGGAGGAAUUCCAGUAUCUUGCUGUGGCGUUCUUUGAUCCAGUGAUAAUACCUUGUGUGGAUCAACAGAAGGGAGAGCUAAGCGUGAGGACUCUGAUUCGAGACGGGCGUCUCGACUUCGGACUUUGGAUAGCUUGAUUGUAUCUUCUAUUUGAGGCGGGUACCCUCUGACUUAUCUUUGAUAAUGUCUUUUGAUAUGUGCAGUUUAUAUAUACUUGCUAGUG